GGGCUGGAUGGCAGCUCCUGUAGGGCUGCAGCAGCUCCCAUCCCCGCAUGCAGGAGGAUUUGCCUCCAGCCCUCCCACGGCUGAAUCCAAGCCAUUCUGAACCACCACCUCACAACAGACUCAGAGCAUCUUUCUCUGCUGCAGUUGCAAACCCGUCAGAGUUUCUCUUGAGUGUUUUGCACCUUGUGAUGACGUCUGUCUGGGCUCACACCCUUCAUGUAGCUGCAGCUCUCCCUUGUCGCCCUAACUUAGGGCAGUGCUGUGGGGAGCAGAGCAGGGCUGGGAGCCAUCAAAGGUGCCACGUGAGGAAACCACUUAGAAAUGUGAAAAGCUGAAACCUGGCCUGGAAAACAGCAGAGUGGUUCCUCCCUGGUUCUGAGAUCCCCCCUUUGUGGGGCGCAGAAUGGGUUGUGCCCAUCAUCCUACAGCUGUCCUAUGGCACGAACGCAGAUGCCCCUGUCAGAAAUUCACCUGGAAGGGCUUCUCCAUUAACACCCAAUCUUUUAAUCUCCUCAAGAAACAGAGCACCAGUCUGGCAGAAUCCGUUUCUGUAAAGCCCUGUAAUUGCUCUUAAUUAUAUUGUUCUAUUUUAAGUCCUCGCAAAGAGCGGUGCAUUGGUUGUUCCUCUGCCUGGGAUCACAGGCAGAUGAUGAGCCUGCGAGGGCAUCUGAGUCAUUAUUCCUCCCCUUUAUAAACAUUUGGCCAGCGUGAACUUCAUCUGCUCUUUGGAAACUUCACCAGGCUUCGGGAGUUGCUGGCAGCGAGCAGCAAUGGAGCUGCUUGCCCAACCUCCUGCAAAGCAAACAGAAAGUGGAGCAACAUGGAAAUGUUUGGUUCUGUGACUCUGGAGGUGACAGCACCUGCGAGAUGGGGGACUCCAUCUUCUUCCUUCCCCAGCCUGGGACUCCAGAGCCAACCUUCUUGUGGGCAGGAAAGAGUCUGCAGGUCAAAUCACGCCCUGCUUUUGCUCUUACAAAACGUCCUCGCCUUCAGAGCCUGCCUUUGGUGACGUGAGCGCAGCUUGCUUGUCUUCGGCUGAGUGCACAGCUCCCGCUGCACGUCAGUGCGAUGCUGCUGACGGAUGAGGAGCAGGAUGAGGAGCCCCACGAGCCCCACAGAGCUGGCAAGGAGUGGGAUGCAGUUCUGGGGGAAGGAAUGGGCUGGGCCUGCCCUUUCCUGUUAGCUGACCUGCUGUGGUUUGGUGCUCCCGGCUGAGCUGUGCCAGCAUCCAAACCACGUAAGUGCAGCUUCAAUUGUAACCGGAGUUACACGCUGCUGAAUCACUGUCCUGUGGAGGCAAAGUUUUGUUCCCUUGGCCUGAGUCCAGGACUUGUUAAGACCCACAUGCAGAAUAUGAGCUUCAGCCGACCCUCCCUGGUGAGUACUGAAACUUCAGGGGCUGAACAUUUUCUCCCUGCUGGUUUUCUUCUUCUUUUUACCUCUUUGAAUGAAACAGACAUGUUGAACUAUUUUGAUACGACUGCAGCAAUGGGAAUACACUUUCCUGAUGCUUCCAAUCCUGCAAAAUCACCUGCUCUUCUCCAACCAAAAAUACAAGAGUUGACCUUCUGAUGUUGAAGGAAAACAAACAAGCCUCUGGAUUCCCCCUCAGGAAAACAAAUGGUCUCUGCUGUUCCAGCAUGGCCCUAUUUGGACAGCUCAAGGCUGGAAAUUCAAAAUUAGCAUUUGACAAUGAAACAAUCCAGGCAUGGAUUUUAAAAAGAGCAAUGAAUGGAAAGAGUUUUACCGUCAUUUAGGGAACUCUUCCCUUUCUUCUCUGACCACUUUUCUUUGCUGCUUGGUGCUACUGCCCUAGGAGGAGAUUUUGGGCUGCCCUGCCUUCCUUCAUCUCUACAGGUUCCUGCUGGUGCUGCCCUAAGCUGGGUGAAGAGGAGAAAAUGUCUCUCCAGGCUCACACUAUGCAUAUGGAGAGUGGAAGAGGUCCAUGUGGGGAUGGGAGUAAUCCUGACAGGGGCUCGCCUCUCCUGAACCCUCAAGCUAAAACUCUUCAUAUCCCCUUCCAACAUUCUUCUUCCCUGGAAGAGCUGCAGACAUACGGACUCCCAUGGGAGCAGAGUCCUCUUGUCCCAUGCACACACUGGAUUAUCUCCCAGCAGAUGCACAGGGGCAGCGAUGGGGACCUGCAGCCCCUUCCCAGUUUGCCUGGCUCUAAUUGACAUAUCUCUGGGAGCUCAAACAGAACUCAAAUUGCACAAAUCCCUCUGAAAUACACGCUUGGCACUGGAAGCUCUGAUCGUCCCCGAGCAUAAGCUAAAUAGGAUUUUCUUCAAGUUUACCUUAAUACAAAGACCAGCUGCAUCCUGUCAGGCUGGAGGAGAUCGGCUUUGCGAGCGGAGGAGAAAAGAGUGAGAAAGAAGCAAAUUAAAGUAUUCCUGAGAGGGGAGAGGAUGUGUGAAUCCCUGAUGUGAAAUGGCCUGAAAUGAAAUCGCUGCAACAAGCAGCCUCCACAGAGUGCUUCUAGACUUGUGCUGUUGCCUUUCAUCGACCAAUUUAUUUCACCAAAGGCAAAAAUGCACGUCUGAGUGGACAGGACUCUUUGGCAGGAAUGGUACUGCUCUGUAAGGAGAUGGGAAGGAAAUGGAAGCAAACAGCUCCAAGUGUUUGGAUCCCCUGCCCAAGCCCAGUUCCUUUCCCAAGCUUUUCUCACGUUGGGCUGCCAGGCUGCUCCACGCCAGUGGGUCCUGUGAGCACUGCAGCAGAGCCGAAAGCACAACGAAUGCCAUGCAGAGACUUUGCUGCUUGUGAACUGCUGCUCCCAGGCCUCACUUGGUUUUCCUUUCCUAUCCAUGCAAACAGCCAAGACUUGGCAGUGGAUGGCAACAGCAGGAGAAGCCACGGAAGCAUCGUCCACACGCACAGCCCAGUACAGCCAAAUGGGCAAACGGCGUGUCAGCAUUUGCAGCUCAUCAGCAAGGAGUUCUGGCUGCUCCCCUGGGUAUGACGCCCCCUCCAUCUCCACUCUCCUCAGAAGCAGCCAGCCCAAGCGGAAUCAUUCUGCCCUUUCACUCAGCAGCAGCACUGGCUUUUGCAAAUUAAGGGCCAGAACAGAGAGGUGAUGAGACAAAAACUCAGCCCAGCUUUCAGACAUAGUUGCUACCCACCGCCUUAAGGGCAGAGAUCCGUACCCUGUGUGUGUGCUGCUGUUGGGACAUGGAGGCAGAGGCGGUUCAUUCUGCUUUUUUUUUCCAUUGUGCAUGGGUACACAACGUGGCUCUCAGCCUCCUCUACAAUAAUGCUUUGUUUCCCUCAACCAACACCACUCUGUCAGCGAUGUAAAUAAUUUUAGCACAUCCAAACAGGAAGUGGCUGAGUGUUUGGGUGUCUGAAUCAACAUCCUGGAGGCUGGGCCUUUGCCACCAGUGCAAUAACUAAAUGCAUGAGUCGCCUAUGGAUGGAAGCGCAGGUCUUGGAAAUGGCAGAGCCAGUAAAACUCAGUGCCAGAAUGUGACCGUUGCCAAAUAAUACUGUUGCUUGUCCAGUUUGUGUGGCCGCAGGCUGCUUCAUCUCAGCUUCUCCGUGCUGAUGCAAUCAUGUUUCCUUUCUGCUUGUGGCAUUGUCCACAGUGUCCACAGGCUGUGGUCCUUCCCAUCAGGGCAGAGAAUGGAUCUUGCUUCUCUGCA
ensembl:lncRNA